AUUUAGAGGGACUCUCUAACCUGAGUACACAUUUGAAACAUCUGAGGGCUUUGAAACAUACCUGCUCCUGGACCACCUGCUGAACCAAUUAAAUCAGAAUUUCUGUUGUGAAGAUCUCCACGUGAGUUUAAGCUUUCCUGCUCAACUGUUAGUUCCAUGAAGGCAACAGCCAUGCCUGCUUCGUUCACUGAAAUAUCUUCGUUUCCUAACACACAGAAAGUCAUCAUUUUUUGACGGAUGAAAGAAUGGAUGAAUGCCUAGUCUUGGAGACAUCUACUUGCAAUAAAGGUUGGGGAAGUUCUCCUGGAUAAUAUCCUGAAGAGUGUUUUCCAGCUUGGUUCCAUUCUCCCGGUCACUUUCAGGUGAAGAAACAGAGGCAAAGGGAGCAUAAGCAAUUUUCCAAAGGCCAUACAACAUGUAAGUGGCUGAGCCAAGACUGAAAUCACCAGGUUCUUAACCACUAGGCCAUAUUGCAUUGGAGUGUUGCCUCCUGGAGUAAGACUAGGCUAAAAGCUUCAUAGAAACCUAAAGGAGUUAGAGAAGGAAGAUCUCUCAAUGGAAAUGCUAAGAAGAGACACAAGGAAAGACACAUCACUAAGGAGAGACCCAAGGAAAAUGGCUCUAUGACUACAGUCCAUUUAAAGAAUGAGGGCGUUCCUUCUACCAAGUUACAGGUGGAGAUGUGUUUACCUGCUGGAUACCAAUGCUUCUAGCAUCAGGGAGAAGUUGAGCCCUGGAGGAAACAUUGCCUCUAAGUUUGUGUUCUGCUUUCCUGAAAUCCCACGUAACCCACAAUAGCUCUCAAAAGCUUCAAAAAAUAGUGAUGAAAAAGGUUAACUCUGAUGCUGUUCUGGAGCUGAAAGCAGAUUUUGACCUUGGAUAAACAUGCUGGAUUUUCGCUAUUGAAUGUAUUGGGCACAAUUCAAGGUACACAGUCAUUCCAGAAUGUACUUGAUAAAAAUAAGAAAUUUGCAUGUCUUAGAGGGACAUGGACACAUUCUUUAUACUCAGUUGCAGACUGGUUGUUUUAAAAAAUUAAGUGUUAACAAUUUGCUUACAGUUCUUGCUCAUAUAUGGUAACUCGAAAAUUGUCAGUGCUGAGUUUAGCUGGAAAACUCCUGGAAGUGUCAACCCAUUCUCAAAAUAAAUGGUUUUCACAGCUAUGAUUUUAUACAAAAA
rnacentral:lncRNA from 1 species